AGGAAUUUAGCAGAGAUGCUUUAGUGCCUUCGGGAACUCUGAGACAGGUGCUGCAUGGCUGUCGUCAGCUCGUGUUGUGAAAUGUUGGGUUAAGUCCCGNAACGAGCGCAACCCUUAUCCUUUGUUGCCAGCACGUAAUGGUGGGAACUCAAAGGAGACUGCCGGUGAUAAACCGGAGGAAGGUGGGGAUGACGUCAAGUCAUCAUGGCCCUUACGAGUAGGGCUACACACGUGCUACAAUGGCGCAUACAAAGAGAAGCGACCUCGCGAGAGCAAGCGGACCUCAUAAAGUGCGUCGUAGUCCGGAUUGGAGUCUGCAACUCGACUCCAUGAAGUCGGAAUCGCUAGUAAUCGUAAAUCAGAAUGUUACGGUGAAUACGUUCCCGGGCCUUGUACACACCGCCCGUCACACCAUGGGAGUGGGUUGCAAAAGAAGUAGAUAGCUUAACCUUCGGGAGGGCGUUUACCACUUUGUGAUUCAUGACUGGGGUGAAGUCGUAACAAGGUAAGCGUAGUGCU
rnacentral:rRNA from 1 species